rnacentral:rRNA from 1 species
AUUGAACGCUGGCGGAAUGCUUUACACAUGCAAGUCGAACGGCAGCACGGGGCAACCUGGUGGCGAGUGGCGAACGGGUGAGUAAUAUAUCGGAACGUGCCCAAUCGUGGGGAUAACGUAGCGAAAGUUACGCUAAUACCGCAUACGAUCUACGGAUGAAAGCGGGGAUCGCAAGACCUCGCGCGAAUGGAGCGGCCGAUAUCAGAUUAGGUAGUUGGUGGGGUAAAGGCUCACCAAGCCAACGAUCUGUAGCUGGUCUGAGAGGACGACCAGCCACACUGGAACUGAGACACGGUCCAGACUCCUACGGGAGGCAGCAGUGGGGAAUUUUGGACAAUGGGCGCAAGCCUGAUCCAGCCAUUCCGCGUGCAGGAUGAAGGCCUUCGGUUGUAACUAGCUUUGUUACGGAACGAAACGGUACUGCCCUAAUACGGUGGCGUAAUGACGGUACCGUAAGAAUAAGCACCGGCUAACUACGUGCCAGCAGCCG